rnacentral:tRNA from 1 species
ACCUGGGUGGCUCAGUGGGUUAAGCAUCUGACUUCGGCUCAGGUCAUGACCUCACAUUUUGUGAGUUCAAGUCCCACAUGGGGUG